UAUUGGUCAAUGGCCGAGAGGCUGAACCAGCCAAGUCGCGUGAAGGAAGAAGGAUCUAUGUGUUGUAAACUUCUUUUAUAGGGGAAUAAAGUGGAGGACGUGUCCUUUUUUGUAUGUACCCUAUGAAUAAGCAUCGGCUAACUCCGUGCCAGCAGCCGCGGUAAUACGGAGGAUGCGAGCGUUAUCCGGAUUUAUUGGGUUUAAAGGGUGCGUAGGUGGUGAUUUAAGUCAGCGGUGAAAGUUUGUGGCUCAACCAUAAAAUUGCCGUUGAAACUGGGUUACUUGAGUGUGUUUGAGGUAGGCGGAAUGCGUGGUGUAGCGGUGAAAUGCAUAGAUAUCACGCAGAACUCCGAUUGCGAAGGCAGCUUACUAAACCAUAACUGACACUGAAGCACGAAAGCGUGGGGAUCAAACAGG
rnacentral:rRNA from 1 species